UACGGAGGGUGCAAGCGUUAUCCGGAUUUACUGGGUUUAAAGGGUGCGCAGGCGGAUAUGUAAGUCAGUGGUGAAAUCUCUGGGCUUAACCCGGAAAUUGCCAUUGAUACUAUAUAUCUUGAAUGCUGUGGAGGUAAGCGGAAUAUGUCAUGUAGCGGUGAAAUGCUUAGAUAUGACAUAGAACACCGAUUGCGAAGGCAGCUGACAAAACUAUAACUGACGCUGAUGCACGAAAGUGCGGGGAUCAAACAGG
rnacentral:rRNA from 1 species